AUGGCUAAGUACUGGUGGAGCAGCUCGAUUGACAGAAGAUCUCUUCAUUGGAUAUCAUGGAAAAAUCUCACGGUACCAAAAUGCAAAGGAGGUAUGGGAUUUCGUGAUUACCAUCUGUUUAAUUUGGCACUAUUGAGAAAACAUGGGUGGAGGUUCAUGACCAACCCCAAUUCACUAUGUGCCAGAGUUCUGAAGGGGAGGUACUUCCCCGAUAGUGAUUUUAUGCAGGCCCAAGUGCCACACUCGGCAUCGGCCAUAUGGUGUGCCAUCAUUGCUGGGCGGGAAGCCCUUGAGGCGGGAGUGGUUCAGCGUGUUGGUGAUGGCUCAACUAUCAACGCCUGGACCGACAAAUGGAUCCCAACCACUGUUACCCGAUCACCGAUCCUCAAGCCAGUGAACACAAGUGUUGAACGGGUGAGCGAUCUGAUCGAUAACAUGAACUAG
rnacentral:rRNA from 1 species